rnacentral:tRNA from 1 species
UGGUUCAGCGGUAGAAUUCUCGCCUGCCACGUGGGCAGCCCGGGUUCGUUUCCCGG